UGUGAAUAGGAAAUGAAAUGUGAAAAACCAGAAACCAGAGAGUCUUCUUUGUCGUGCGUUGUCUUUGUCGUGUUUGUCUUCUCCCGAACUCGACCUGAGCUAUCUCUAAGGGUCAGUGUCUUUCGUGCGAGAGCAAAACUAGAGGUGGGAGUGUAUCUUCUCUGUCGUGGGUAUCUCUGAGGUCUGCGUUCAGGUUGGAUGUGUAAUGGUGUGAUUCGGUACUUCAAAACCAAGUCUUCCAAACAUUUUUUAUCCAAUAUUUGCAUUUGGCUCUCUCUCAGCAUGGGAAACGGGACAGAACAUCCAUCUACGCUAACACCAUGUAGCUCCACUACAAGCAAAAUAGUUGGUUCAAAGGAUAAUAGACCCGAUGGGGGAGAAACUGAAGCAUCAUGUACAAUUAGGUAGCAUUUAAUGUAUUAUGGGAGGAUAAUACACUUUUGUGCAUUUAAUGUAUUUUUUUGUGGGGAUGAUUGUAGUCCAGGCACUUAAUUGGGUAGCAUUUGUGUUUUUGGUAGGAUAAGUAUAUUUCAAGGACUUUAUGCAUUUAAUGUAGUUUUUGUGGGAAUGAUUGUAUUCCAGCACUUAAUUGGGUAGCAUUUGUGUUUUUGGUGGGAUGAGUAUAUUUCAAGGACUUUUGUACAUUUAAUGUAUUUUUUGUAAGGAUGAUUGUAUUCCAGACACUUAAUUGGGUAACAUUUGUGUUUUUGGUGGGAUGAGUAUAUUUCAAGGACUUUUGUACAUUUAAUGUAUUUUUUGUAGGGAUGAUUGUAUUCCAGGCA